AAAAUAAGACCCUAAUUGUUUAACUUUCCUUUCACUUUUUCUAUUAGCUCUUUCUCUCUCAUCUCUUUCACAUUUCCCUCUUUUCCCCAUCCAUCUUUGCGAUUCACACUUACCAUUUUCUUCAUCAAUGGAGAUUGGAGAAGCUCAAAAUCUCUCUGAAAUUUUACCCCAAUCUUAACCUCCUCACCAAACUCUAGCUUCUUAACAAGAACUCAACGACAAAAUUGUAACCCUAGGUCCGACUCAAUUUAACCAUCAAACCACGAGAAGAUGACCGCUCGGUUGAAGGAGAUUAAUUCGGCGGCAAAGAAGAGAUGACGAGUCGCAGAAAACGCCGUCUUCAGUCGAUAGAGAUCAAAUCUAUUAAACCAAAAUCUACUGAAGCACUUUUUGCUAGAAGAUAGCAGUGAACCACCCUCCUGUUGAGAAUAGUGAGGCUCCAGCUUAUGAAAGCUCCGAAAAUCCGACGAUUUAGCAAGGUUGACGAUUAUUGAAGGAUCAGGAAAAAAUCAGGAGGAAGAAAGUUCUAGCUGCAAAUACAGAAGAUAUUGUUCAUGUUGAGUCUAGUUCAGCUGUUCAAUCCCGGUUUGUAAACAUGAAAAUGGUCUUAAAACACCGAAAACAACACUUAAAUCAAGGAUUGCAAAGGAGAGAAUCAACAAAAAGAAAAUUCCAAUUGGGAAUGGAUUUGGAUAUGAUGCUGACGACACAACAACAGAUUGGAGCACGUGUCGACCAACAUCAUGUUAAAGUAGGACAACAAUCUAAGAGGAAGUUAGUCUCUUCUAUAUCUAAAAAAUCCCAAGUGAGAUUAGGCAAGUCUACUGCACAGAAAAAAUAUCAAUCCAGUCUGCAAGAGAUUGGGAAUGGUGUCCAAACUAAGAGAGGGUAGAGUAAGGCAAUGGUGUUUUGCUGUUGUUACUGCUUUUUUUUUUUUUUUUUUUUUUUUGCUUAUUCUGCUGUUUCUGCUGCUGCUAUUUGCUGGUGCUACUACUGUAUGCUGCUGAUCCUCUGUCUUUUUCCUACUGUCUUCUUCUAUUGCUGUAAUCUGGUAUUAAUGUCUGCUUUUAUCGGUAGCCGAUGUGUUCGCUAGCUAUGCUGCUAUUAUAACUGUUGUUUCCUACAACCGCGCUGAUUUUUAAAGAAAUUGGAGGUCUAGAAGAGACCGAAGUUCACUUUC